GUUGCCUAGAAUGCAGUCGACGAGGCCUUUUCCUGCUUGCAGGAGAAGUGUCCUAGUGGCGAACGAGUGAGUAAUAGAUACGAACGUACUCCAAAGAAGGACAUAGCCUCUCGAAAGAGAGGAUAAUUUCCUAUAGUCCCUCCGGGGUAAAGACGCAAGUCGCUUUGGAAGCGGCGUAUCUGCUAUCAGUUUGUUGGUAGGGUAAUGGCCUACCAAGACUAUGACGGCUACCGGCCCUUAGCGGGGAGUCCGGCACGAUGGGACUGAGACACGGCCCAUACACCUACGGGUGGCAGCAGUUAGGAAUCUUGCGCAAUGGACGAAAGUCUGACGCAGCGACACCGCGUGUGGGAUGACGGCCUUCGGGUUGUAAACCACUUUUAUUUUGUCUUCAGGACAUUUUGAAUAAGCAACUACUAACUACGUGCCAGCAGUCGCGGAAUUACGUAGGCUGUAAGCGUUACCCGGUUUUACUGGGGAGAAAGGGGUCUGUAGGCGGUUUUUUAAGUCCCAUUUCAAAUAUUCCGGCUUAACCGGAAGAAGGGCUGGGAUACUGAAAGACUAGAGUUGCAUCGAGGUUACUGGAAUUUAUAGUGUAGGGGUAAAAUCCGUGGAUACUAUAAAGAACACCAAGGGCGAAAGCUGGUAACUAGGUACAAACUGACGCUGAGAGACGAAAGCUAGGGUAGCAAAUCAGAUUAGAGACCUGAGUAGUCCUAGCCGUAAACGAUGUCCGCUAAUCCCGGGGUUUUCUCUGGGAUGCAAGCUAACGCGUUAAGCGGACCACCUGGGGAGUAUAGCCGCAAGGCUGAAACUCAAACGAAUUGGCGGGGAGGCGCACAACCAGUGGAGCAUGCGGUUCAAUUCGAUAUGAAGCGAUGAAUCUCACCUGGAAUUGACAUGUACCUGCAUCCCGGCAGAAACGCUGGGAGCCUUCGAGGGUGGUACACAGCUGUUGCAUGGCUGUCGUCAGCUCGUGACGUGAGUUGUUCUCUUAAGUGAGGUAACGAGCGCAACCCCUGUCCUGUGUUAUUGUGUCACAGGAGACUGCUCAGCAUUAUUUUUGUUGGGAGGAAGGAGGGGACGACGUCAAGUCAGCAUGAUGCUUAUGUCCAGGGCUACACGCAUCCUACAAUGACAAGUACAAUGGGUUGCCAAACCGUAAGGUGGAGCUAAUCCCCCAAAACUUGUCUCAGUGGGGACUGCAGUCUGAAACUCGACUGCACGAACUUGGAAUUGGUAGUAAUCGUGGAUCAGCAGACCGCGGUGAAUACGUUCUCGCCUCUUGCACACACUGCCCGUCAAAUCAGCAAAGUUGAGGGUACCCAAAGACUCUGGC
rnacentral:rRNA from 1 species